CUGCCCGCUAGACAUGUACAUCUUACAAUCAUUCCAUACAACAAAUAUAGUAGACCUAUUGCAUAUAGUAUGAGAAAAACAGACCAAAACACAAAAAUUUCACUAUAACCACUGAACCAUGAAAAUGAGGUCAAGGUCAGAUGACACCUGCCAGUUGGACAUGUACACCUUACAGUCCUUCCAUACACCGAAUAUACUAGCCCUAUUGCUUAUAGUAUCUGAGAUAUGGACUUGACCACCAAAACUUAACCUUGUUCACUGAUCCAUGAAAUUAGGUCGAGGUCAAGUGAAAACUGUCUGACAGACAUGAGGACCUUGCAAGGUACGCACAUAUCAAAUAUAGUUAUCCUAUUACUUAUAAUAAGAGAGAAUUCAACAUUACAAAAAAUUUGAACUUUUUUUUCAAGUGGUCACUGAACCAUGAAAAUGAGGUCAAGGACAUUGGACAUGUGACUGACGGAAACUUCGUAACAUGAAGCAUCUAUAUACAAAGUAUGA
rnacentral:lncRNA from 1 species